rnacentral:piRNA from 1 species
GACUGACAUUGCUGAAGGAUCCGGACA